rnacentral:rRNA from 1 species
AUUGAACGCUGGCGGCAUGCCUUACACAUGCAAGUCGAACGGCAGCACGGGAGCUUGCUCCUGGUGGCGAGUGGCGAACGGGUGAGUAAUAUAUCGGAACGUACCCUAGAGUGGGGAUAACGCAGCGAAAGUUGCGCUAAUACCGCAUACGAUCUACGGAUGAAAGUGGGGGGAUCGCAAGACCUCAUGCUCAUGGAGCGGCCGAUAUCUGAUUAGCUAGUUGGUGGGGUAAAGGCCUACCAAGGCUUCGAUCAGUAGCUGGUCUGAGAGGACGACCAGCCACACUGGAACUGAGACACGGUCCAGACUCCUAGGGAGGCAGCAG